AGGCUUAACUACCACCAUCUCCUCGCGGGCAGUGGGGGCAACCGCGAAGACAGAAUUUCACAAACUUUCAGCUCCAGCAGUUUCAAGGAAAUGUCAAAUGACAAGAUGGAAGACCGAGUGUCAAGAGCUAAGACAACAAAAAGGCCCCCAAAAUUUGUUUUCAAGAAAACCAAUGAAAAAAGCAAGCAAUCAGAACGUGAAGUCCAGGAUCAUGGAUGUGCUUAUCUUCACAGUCACUGCUGGGUCCUGAAGUUCUCCUCUGGCCCAGUGCCAGCUGCGAAGCCCUCUGCCAAAGGGCCAGAGGAGGCCGGUGAUAUAGAGCUCUGAUUACCCACCCGUCAGGGCACCGCUGAAGGUCACUGAAUACUUACUGUGCACCCGAAAAAUAAAUCCUGCGAGUUCACGCCCGCGUAGUUCGCCCCCUGAUUUUGAGCGACUCCUUUCGCAUGGGAUCUACAAAACCGAACUGCCUUAAAGACCUCUUUCACACGGACGUGAAGUCACAGAACUGACAAAAUCCCAUCCUGUCAAAGUGCACGGGUCUUUGAAAUCUAACACAAAAAGCCAUAGAAAGAUUCUCUAAACACCCUGUACUAAGAGGAACACGGACAGGGCACUGCGUUCUGAAGUAGAGGCCAGGGCACUGGCCCUUAGACACGUCUCGCUGUCACCGGGCUAACAACAUUGGCAAGGGCGGCGGCAGCAGCACUGAUAUUUGCAGCCCCCAAGGGCUCUGGCGAAACCCCCUCUAUUACUCUGUAUCCUGCCUGCUUCCAAGAUGAACCUGUUGCUGGGAAAGAACAGGCUAAAUUAGAAAAGGGAGUAUUUUGUCAAAGUUGAAGGUGAGUGAUAGCCUGCCCGCCUCAAAUAGGAUGGGAAAAACUAAGGAUAUUGGGGAUGAUGACACUGUCGCCUCCGAAUUCUGGUCCGGGGCUCUCUCCCAGCCCUCAAGUGUCCCCACGCGGCCGCGGACCCCGAACAGGGACAGCUGGAGACGGGCUUGGGCAGCGCGCGGCCUGCACCCGCGGCCAUCCAUCUUGCAGCCCGGCCCGGCCAGGCUAUCCCGGGCAAGGGCUGGGGGAACUCGCUGCCCCCAGCGCCGCCACGGCCGGGCGACAUUCUGCGCCCUGGGAAGGGGGAUAGGGGUGCGGCGCGGCCCCGGUCCCCGGCCCGCCCGGAUCCCCGGCCUCACCUUGACGUGGAAGCGGAUGAGCGCCAGGCGGAUGCAGUGGGCCAUGCAGACGGGCGGCAGGAACCAGACCUUUGGCGGCGGGGUGCCCUUGUUCUGGACAUGGCUGACGAUCUGCUGUGCCGUCUGGCGCUCGUUGCCCUGCCGCUUGACCCACUCGUGCAGCCGGGCCUUCUCGAGCGCGCCGUUGAAGAAGACGAAGAGCUCGAUGUUGCCGCCGAAGCAGGCCUUGGCCAGCGCCGCCAGAAACCUCUGUAGAGGAGCAGGAUGCAACCGACAGGCUGUGGCCGGACAGCUGCUGCCCAGCACAUGGAGCCUGCACGCGCACGGUUUGGCCAAAGAAGCCCCCAUACUCCCGGUGAAAAAGAUGGAGUCUUGCUCUGUUGCCCAGGCUGGAGUACAAUGAUGUGUUCUCAGCUCACUGCAACCUCCCUCUCCCAGGUUCAAGUGAUCUCCUGCCUCAGCCUCUGGAGUAGCUGGGAUUACAGAUUUCCAGAAGCUGUUCUGUCAAUAACAAAGUCUCAAAGAAAACCACAAAACCACCAACACUAAGAUCAUUCUUGAGUCCAAUUUGAAAAACUAGGGUCAAGUUCUGCAGAGGCAUUGAAAGGACAAGAAACCACCCUGAUACCCAUCGUGUGAGGGAAAAUGCUCUAUUCACCAUUCCUCAGCUUCUGCUUCUGGUUUCAGAGUUCUCUCUAUAUUGGAGGGUGUUUUAAAGCUAGAGUGGUCUUUAUCCACUUUUAUUAACACAUCUGAAUGUGAAGGUCAAGAGAGGAAAGUGAUAUGUCCUAAGUCAGAGUAGAGUCAACAAGAAAAUAAGACAAACAGCGACUGAGCCCCUGGUGUAUACUGGGCAUUGGCCAGCUACUGGGGAUAUGGAGAUGAAGAAAACAUAACCCUUCUUCAAGGAGCCCAACCUACCAAGGUAGACAGACAUAUAGACAAAUAGAUACUUGCAUAGAAAAAAAGAGGAAAAGGGGAUCAGUGUGACCUGUGUAACUAAGUACCCUAUAAACCCUCCUGCAACAGAUCAUAUUGCCCUUUAUAGUGGGGAUGGUAAUCCCAUCUGAAUUCCACAGGUACUUUGCAGUCAUACCACACCCAUGUGUCUGUCGGUCCUGACUGUACCAUUUAUAAACAGCUUCACUUUCAGCAGUUCUCAGCCCUCUUAAGCUAGGGUCAUUGUCAGUAGGGAUACUGCUUCAUAAGCACCAGCAGAACACCAAAGGAGACCAUAUGGGUGAAAGCAACCAGCACUGCCCUGGCGCUUCAUAGGUUCUUAGAGUUUUUAUCUUUUACUUUCAGUCUAACACAGCACUGCCUGCUUUUUGUUUUUGUUGCUUGGUUUGUUUUUUUCUUACCGUGUUCACCAAACUUGUGUCCAAAUAGCUUUGGGCUGAUGCAAAAAUAUCUAUGUGGAAGAGAAGAGUUGUUCUCAUGGAGGGCCUUCAGAUGAGUGCUAUAGACUCUCUAGGCAACUCCAAGAGGCUUCUCAAGCAGGGUGGGCAGUGAGAGCUGCUAUGGAAUCAAUGGACAAACUGACAGGGACUGCUUUGAAAGACAGUACUCAGUUGAGUAUAUAUAUUCUCUCUUAAGGGCUAAAAGUUUAUAAUCAUCCCUUAAACACUCUGUGAUGGGAUCUUCAGGAUCAUCUUUUGAAGUAAACUAUAUUUUACAAUGUGAUAUAAAUCAAGUGAGUUUUUUUUUUAAUUAGGAAUUCCCGUAAGUAUAAAGCCAUUUUAAGAUGUACAUUUUAGAGACUAGCUAUUGUUAAGUGGUCUGUUACAUUUGUGUAAACCAUAAAGAUCUUUCCAGAGGAAGCAAGUCUCUCAUACCAGAAUAUGAAAACACUAGCCCCAGGCUUGAGUAACCUAGAUCACAUGAAGCUGACUUCCUCUGAGGAGUCUAGGACCUCAGAUAUAGGUGGGAGCACACAAUCACCCUUCUGGAAACAGCUAAGACUUGUGGCUCAGGCGUUUGACCUUGCUGACAAAGGAAGAGGUCAGGGUUGACGAGAGCUCCAGGAAGAAUGAAAGUGCCUCUGGAAGGCAGGAAGAAAGUUACUGUAAUACUUUAUCCUUAGGGUGGAACAAGAGUCUGGGAAAGCUCUGCCCUAUAAAGUCCCCUUCCCCAUUCCUCCCAGGUCCCAGGUGUGGUGGUAUAAGGAGAGUUGGCCCAAUCUGGGAGCUGAGGGAUCUGAGACAUCCAUCUACUGCAUCAGUGCACUCAGAAGUGAGGAUUUUGGCACAGUUAUUCAUGAGACAUCAGCCCAUCAUAUAAAACAUGCCUCCAGUUUGGUUAAACUAGGAAGCACUAUAUAAUAUUUUAAAAUCAGUUACAUGUCACUGAUAAAAGACUUAGUAUUACCAUGAUGUUAUUUUUCUUGAGGCAACAUGAUGAAACCCAUUGUCUACAAAAAAUCCAAAAAUUAGCCAGGUGAGGUGUGCACCUGUAGUCCCAUCUUCUCAGGAGGCUGAGGUGGGAAGACUACUUGAGCCAAGGUGGUGGAGGUUGGAGUGAGCCCAGAUUACACCACUUGCACUCCAGCCUGGGCAACAGAGUGAGGCCUUGUCUCAAAAAAAAAAAAAAAAAAAAAAAACAACGAUUUUUAUGAAAGUUGGAGAACCAGGAUUAAGACUGGGUGGGAACUAAGAAUGACAGGUACUUUUAACAAUACAGCUGGGAUGCUGUUGAUGACAUGAAUGAACCCCACUCUUACUGUAGUCAUUUGCUCAAGAUUCAAAGUCAUGAAAAAGAGUAGAAUGGACCAAACUUAGGUACUAAGAGUCCCCAGCCUGGCAGUGAAAACAGUAUAGUUCCUUUGACUUUAAUAUGGGGAAACAGGUUCCUGGAUUGACGAUCUCACCAAAACUAUACACAAUUUUUUUUUAUUUUUUCUCAGACCUUUCAGGGAUGAAUAUAUACAAUUUCUGAGAAAGAAACCUGAGUACCUUUAGGAAGGGAAAAGGAAUGCUGAAUAUCCCCAAAUAACAUGUCUUACAUGUUUGGUAAGACUUACUGUACCCUGUCCUAGAAGAUAGAAGAUGCCCUGCCCUUAGAAGACAAAGAGACUGUAGAGCUAUGCCUUCUAAAUCUUAAGCCACUCUUCAGAUAAUGGAUCCCUUCAUGGUCAGCCCAAACAUCUCAAGAACUUUUAAUUUGUACCGUUUGUCUUUUUUUCCAUUUAUUUAAUACCACAAAUUCACUUUAUUAUUAUGAAGCCAAUAUCUACAUCUUCUCACAAAGAUUCUCUUAAGAAAUGCAGAACUGGCCGGGUGCAGUGGCUCAUUCCUGUAAUCCCAGCACUUUGGGAGGCCGAGGCGGGUGGAUCACCUGAGGUCGGGAGUUCAAGACCAGCCUGACAAACAUGGAGAAACCCUGUCUCUACUAAAAAUACAAAAUCAGCUAGGCGUGGUGGCACAUGCCUGUAAUCCCAGCUACUAGGGAGGCUGAGGCAGAAGAAUCCCUUGAACCUGGGAGGCGGAGGUUGCGGUGAGCCGAGAUCGCACCAUUGCACUCCAGCCUGGGCAACAAGAGCGAAACUCCGUCUCAGGAAAAAAAAAAAAAAGCAGAACUCCUUACUGGCCUCAAAACAUACUGUGACAUUUCCGUAACCUACAGGUCUAGAAAUCCUGUGCCAAAUAUGGUUAACUUGUUUGCUGAGAAGGAUGUGGAAGAACUGGAACCCUCAUACACAGCUGAUGGGAAAACAGUCUGGAACUUUCUUAAAACAUUCUGGUAAAUGGGGGCCCGGCAAGCUAGAAAGUGUGGCUAUAAUCCCUUGCUUUUUUCCUUUUUUAAACUUUUUCUCUCUCAGUCCUGACCUAAAGAUGACCCUAGUCAGGCUGGACACGGUGGCUCACGCCUGUCAUCCCAGCACUUUGGGAGGCCAAGACGGGUGGAUCACCUGAAGUCAGGAGUUCAAGACCAGCCUGACCAACAUGGAGAAACCCUGUCUCUACUAAAAACACAAAAUUAGCUGGGCGUGGUGGUGCAUGCCUAUAAUUCCAGCUACUCGGGAGGCUGAGGCAGGAGAAUCGCUUGAACCUGGGAGGUGGAGGUUGCAGUGAGCCGAGAUCGCGCCAUUGCACUCCAGCCUGGACAGCAAGAGCAAAACUCCGUCUCAAAAAACAAAAACAAAAACAAACAAAAAAAUUCCCCUGAGAGAAAACCUGUCUUUCCAGCCAGAGGAGCAGGAAAAAAUGACCCUAUGGUCUGAAGAAUGUGGAAAUAAUCCAUCUUUUUUUCUCUCUCUGCUUUCUGCCUGAGGGGCGUUCCUUUUGGCAAAAUGAGCAGGCAGUGUAGGCAGGUAAUCAUCAGAGAGAAAGCCCAUCUUUCUAAGCCAGAGGAUGAGGAAAAGGGGCCCCCUGGGUGCCAGGGAGUCUGGGGGGAAAUCCUGAAGAGCAAAGACCUGAAAAGAGGAUUCUCUAAUUCUGUACAUGAGCUGAAUUCCGUGCUCAGCCCAGAGCUGCACAUACAAGAGACAGAGCCCAGGCAACACAGCCACACUCUGAACUGACACUCGGACCACCACCACCAAACAGAAGGCAACGCAGGACCUGCAGACUAAGGCUAACGAGGCUGAUUGCCUGACAAAACAGAAAAAAAAGAAACAUUCUUCAGGGAAUUUUAGCAGAACACAGAGUCUCCCAACAUAAAACAGACAGUCCUCACUGCACAGCAGUUCAGAACUGUAAAAAUGACCUUCCAACCUGAAACUGCCAUGUGCUGUUCAUAAUCAUUAAUGGGUAAAAUUGUGAUUUUUUUCCUGUCUUUUGAAAAUUGUCAAAACAUUGAUAAUCUUGUACUGUUAGAAAUGUAUAAGGAAACAAUAAAGUAAAUAUUUUUGUA